CCUGCCUGCAGCUCCAGUCUCGUCAUACAGCCUGGCAUCAAGAACAACAUUCUCUGUAAACAGCUCCAGUCUCCAAAAGUUCAACAUGUCAACAUGAAUGUCUGAGCCCCACUUAUCAUCAUACAUCUUGGCAUAAAGAACUACCUUCUCUGUAAACAGGAAGGCUUUCGACGUUCCACAUGGCAAGAUACACUUCACUGUUAUUUGAACAGUCCUAGUGUUACCUUUUUUUUCUUGUGCUUAAGAAAAUCAGUUUUGUUAAACUUUAAACACCUUUCUGCUUCCUUUCCUGUGAUUUAUAUUUUCGCUUGCAAUUUGCAUGAGUUUGUUGAUGUGUUCCUGUCUGGUGCAUGCUUAAAUUUUUUUGUUUGUGAAUGCG